CUGCAAACUCUCUCUCUCUCCAAAUAUGGUCAUAAUACUCCGGUAUUCCAAGAAAAGUUUGUGUUUUCGUUAAUUGAAGGCUUUAGAGAGAUAAGUGUUGCAGUUUGGAACAGCAAUACAAAAGACGAUUUCAUUGGCAGCGGAAAGGUCCAAUUGGGGAAGGUUCUUUCAAAGGGUUACGACGACCGCACUUGGUAUCUGUAUACUAAUAGUGGGGGGUAAGUGCUAUAAAUUACUAACCCUUUUAAGUGUAUAAUCUGUUUCUAAAAUUAUCUAUAAUAUUUUGUCCUCCGAAAAUUUUAUCUCUUUAAUUUUAUUAUAUUGUGUUUCUUAAGUUAUAGACAAAUUUUCUUUGUUUCUUAUUUUCAAUAAUAAAUCAUUUUAUUGCAAUACCGGUAAUUGUUUGAGAAAUCCAAUAUGUUCAUAUCUCUAUAGAAUAGAGAAUAGUAGAAGUCAAUUUUAUUACAACUACUUAAAUUGAGUUGACUUAAUUCCGUACAAUUACAAAGUAUAGCAUGAAAGAUAAUGGAAUUAAUUGUUGUAAUUUUUAUUUUAUUUCCAUGUUUUGAAUUUCCAUGUUUUUAUUGUUGAUGAGAAAUUAAGGCUCAGUUGCACAAUAUGUGUAAAUUCUUCAGAAGGCUACUUUAAAUAGUAAGUCAAUGUGUCUCUUACAUUUGGGUAUUAGUUAGAAUUAUUUUCAAAUGAUUGUACCA